UGAGUAAAUCAGAUAAUCGCGUGAAAACGAGGAAAGUCCGAGCUCCAUAGAGCAAGGGUGCUGGGUAAUCCCCAGUGGAGGCGACUCCAAGGAUAGUGCAACAGAAAUAGACCGCCCGAAAGGGUAAGGAUGGAAAGGCGAGGUAAGAGCUCACCAGCGCACUGGCGACUUUGCGGCUCUGUAAACCCCACCCGGAGCAAGACCAAGAACGGGCUUUAAAAAGGGACGGCUCGUCCCGCCCUAAUGGUAGGUCGCUUGAGCCCUUCGGCAACGAUGGGCCUAGAUAGAUGAUUAUCCAAUACAGAACUCGGCUUAUAGAUUUACUCACCAA
rnacentral:RNase_P_RNA from 1 species